AGGACGAACGCUGGCGGCGUGCUUAACACAUGCAAGUUGAACGGUAUGACGAUGGAAGCUGCUGAAGUGUCAUAUAGUAGCGGACGGGUGAGUAAUGCAUGAGAAGCUGCCAUUGGAGGGGGACAACAGUUGGAAACGGCUGCUAAUACCCCGUAUGCCGGAAGGUGAAAGGGAGCGAUCCGCCCGAUGAGGUGCUCAUGUCCUAUCAGCUGGUUGGUGGGGUAACGGCCUACCAAGGCGACGACGGGUAGCCGGCCUGAGAGGGUGAACGGCCACACUGGAACUGAGAUACGGUCCAGACUCCUACGGGAGGCAGCAGUGGGGAAUAUUGGGGCCAAUGGGGGGCAACCCUGACCCAGCGACGCCGCGUGGGGGAAGACGGCCUUCGGGUUGUAAACCUCUUUUGUACGGGAAGAAGGAAGUGACGGUACUGUACGAAUAAGUCCCGGCUAACUACGUGCCAGCCGCCGC
rnacentral:rRNA from 1 species